GGGCUCGCAGGCGGUUUCUUAAGUCUGAUGUGAAAGCCCCCGGCUCAACCGGGGAGGGUCAUUGGAAACUGGGGAACUUGAGUGCAGAAGAGGAGAGUGGAAUUCCACGUGUAGCGGUGAAAUGCGUAGAGAUGUGGAGGAACACCAGUGGCGAAGGCGACUCUCUGGUCUGUAACUGACGCUGAGGAGCGAAAGCGUGGGGAGCGAACAGGAUUAGAUACCCUGGUAGUCCACGCCGUAAACGAUGAGUGCUAAGUGUUAGGGGGUUUCCGCCCCUUAGUGCUGCAGCUAACGCAUUAAGCACUCCGCCUGGGGAGUACGGUCGCAAGACUGAAACUCAAAGGAAUUGACGGGGGCCCGCACAAGCGGUGGAGCAUGUGGUUUAAUUCGAAGCAACGCGAAGAACCUUACCAGGUCUUGACAUCCUCUGACGCUCCUAGAGAUAGGACGUCCCCUUCGGGGGCAGAGUGACAGGUGGUGCAUGGUUGUCGUCAGCUCGUGUCGUGAGAUGUUGGGUUAAGUCCCGCAACGAGCGCAACCCUUGAUCUUAGUUGCCAGCAUUCAGUUGGGCACUCUAAGGUGACUGCCGGUGACAAACCGGAGGAAGGUGGGGAUGACGUCAAAUCAUCAUGCCCCUUAUGACCUGGGCUACACACGUGCUAC
rnacentral:rRNA from 1 species